UACGGAGGGUGCAAGCGUUAUCCGGAUUCACUGGGCUUAAAGGGUGCGUAGGUGGGCAGUUAAGUCAGUGGUGAAAUCUCCGGGCUUAACCCGGAAACUGCCAUUGAUACUAUCUGUCUUGAAUACCGUGGAGGUGAGCGGAAUAUGUCAUGUAGCGGUGAAAUGCUUAGAUAUGACAUAGAACACCAAUUGCGAAGGCAGCUCACUACACGAAUAUUGACACUGAUGCACGAAAGCGUGGGGAGCAAACAGG
rnacentral:rRNA from 1 species